rnacentral:lncRNA from 1 species
GAAAUGCUUUGGCUCGUGCCUCCAGGGAGGGUGACAACAUCUGUCUGUGCAGCACAGGCAGUGUGUGACCUCUCACAAUCAUCCAGUCAGGAGCCCUUUUGCUGGCUGAGACCCUUUCUCAGGUGUCUCACAUCAGGCCCUGGCACCUGAGCUAGUCAAUGCAUUUUAAGAUGCGACGAGCAGGACAGACAUUCCCAUCUCAAUUCCCACCAAGAUUUCUGGGACUGACAUGAGUUUGCUGGCUGGUGACAGAGACAUCUUCCCACCUGGAGAGUGUUUCUGUGCCGUACCUUUUCAUUGCUGCUGCCAGCAGCAUAUCCUCUAACCGUGAAAUAAAAAUUCAUCUUGGUACA